rnacentral:rRNA from 1 species
UAAUACAGAGGUGUCUAGCGUUGUCCGGAAUUACUGGGCGUAAAGGGCGUGUAGGUGGGCGUGUAAGUCGGAUGUGAAAUCACCGGGCUUAACCCGGUAACUGCAUCCGAAACUGCUCGUCUUGAGUGCAGAAGAGGAGAGUGGAAUUCCCAGUGUAGCGGUGAAAUGCGUAGAUAUUGGGAGGAACACCAGUGGCGAAGGCGGCUCUCUGGUCUGCAACUGACACUGAAACGCGAAAGCUAGGGGAGCAAACGGGAUUAGAUACCCCGGUAGUCCUAGCCGUAAACUAUGAGCACUAGGUGUAGGAGGUAUCGACCCCUUCUGUGCCGCAGCUAACGCAUUAAGUGCUCCGCCUGGGGACUACGACCGCAAGGUUGAAACUUAAAUGAAUUGACGG